rnacentral:rRNA from 1 species
UGAAACUGGGGGUCUUGAGGGCAGGAGAGGAAAGCAGAAUUCCUGGUGUAGCGGUGAAAUGCGUAGAAAUCAGGAGGAAUACCAGUGGCGAAGGCGGCUGUCUGGACUGACCCUGACGCUG